rnacentral:lncRNA from 1 species
AGUCUGCCCCGGGAUUGCCCAAGUGCGCACGUUCCCAUCCUCGCCUUUUCAUUCGGCCGUAGUUUCACCAGCUGCCUCCCUCGUGAGCUGCCAGCUUGGCGAACCCGUUGGUAACACAAGGAAGCUCUUUCUGGAUGCUUGACUGGUCUCCAGGGGACAUGGGUUCGAGCCCUGAUCCGGGAAGAUCCCACAUGCUGUGGAGCAACUAAGACCAUGCACCACAACUACUGAGCCUGUGCUCUAGAGACUGUGAGCCACAACUACUGAAGCCCAUGCGCCUAGAGCCCGUGCUCUGCAGCAAGAGAAGCCACCACAAUGAGAAGCCCACACACCGCAACGAAGAGUAGCCCCAACUCACUGCAGCUAGAGAAAGCCUGUGCGCAGCAACAAAGACCCAACACAGCCAAAAAUUAACUAAUUAAUUAAUUAAUUAAAAAAUAGUUAAUUCCUGGCUUCCUCAAGAAAAUGAAACAUGGCACAACAUACUUCUUAUUCUUUGAGCCUGAUAUUAUGCAUAGCAUUCCUCUGUAGAGAAUGUAUUUAAAUUGUUGCCUAUUUUGUAUCAUUUUGAAAGAUUAGCAGGCUCAAUAGGAGCCAUUGUUAGUGAAUUUCCUGUCCUUGUAAGUAGUUUGAGUUGUAACUUAAGUUUUCUCUUUGUAGUGCCAUCCCUACCAUUGUUUUUUUUUUCCUACUCAAUACAGUAUUCCUCAUAUUGUUUGUUGAACAUGUAUCCCUCUACCCCUUCUCUUAAUCUAUUCUCCCACAUUCACAGAGCCCUUGCUUCAUCCAUUAUGCUCUUUGCUAAUUUCACUGCUUGCUUUUUCCCUUCAGCAUAUUAGAGUGUACCCAUCUUAAAAAUAAUCAGAACAACCUUCCUCUAAUUGUUGCCCCAUCUAGCUAUUAUCCAAUACUUCUUCCCGUCACACACCAUGUUUUGAAAAAAUAGCCAGAGGUCAUCUCAAAUUCCUCAUUCCUGCUAUUUUCUUAAUCCAUUUUAUCUGAUUUUUCAUCCCUUCUACAAUGAAACCAUGGUCUUUAAUGACCUGCGUUACCUUCUGCUGCUGGAUCUCUGUAGCUUUGUUGAUCCUUCCUUGGUUUGUGACACCAUUUCUCUUCAAUUUCUAUGUUCUGAUUCCCUCUACUCCUCAAAUGUUGGUGUUCUUGGGAUUCUUUUCUUGAUCUUAUUCUUUCCUUGCUCUACAGACUCCAAUUUGAUGAUCUUAUUCAUUCCUUUAGUUCCAAAAUCAUUGUUAAAGUUAUAACGUUUAACAGUCGUUGUAUUUUCACUUGCAGUAACCUUCCUGAGCUGCCAUCUCAUAUAUUCAGCCAUAUAUCUGCUAUACUUACUUGUUUCACAGUAUCUCAGUAUGUACAGAACUGAAUCCUACUCUUCCCACCAUGGAUGCUUUUCUUCCUGGAUUCCCUUUAAUGAAGAGAAGCACCAUCCAGACCAAACCCUGAUGCCUCCCUAAGUGCUUCCCCCCUCAAAAUCAAAUGAGGCUAAGCCAAGUUUACCUGCUUAUUGUCUCUUGAUUCUAAUUCCAUCUUUCUAUCCUAAUUCCAAAGCCUACUGUUUUUGGCCAGAAUUACCUCAUCACUUCUUAAGACUGAUUCCAAUCUCAUCUGAUAUUUAUUCUAUUUAUAACACUGCUUCAAUUUUUUUUUCUGAAACACAUUUUUUAUUAUUUUAUUCCCCUUCUUGAAAUCCUUCAGUGCUUCCCCAUUACAUUUAAGAUAAACUCCAAACUUCUUAGCGUAGUACAUAUAAGGCAUUUUAUGUUCUGGGCCCAGUGUUUCUCUCUAGCUGCAACUCUUACCUCUGCUAUGUGCAGUUCAACUUUGUGUCCGGUCCCAGAGGUCACUCCACUCUCCACCUUCCACGCUGUCCUCUUUCCCCUUUUUACCCUUCCUUCUGGCCAUUCCCUGCCCAGCUCUCAAACUUCAAUCCUAACAAACAGCACUUCUUCCAGGCCUCUGCUUUUCUUUCUCACCUAUUCAUUUGGCAUUGCCAUGUUUCCUAUUCAUGUUUCUUUUAUCACACUGAUUAAUUCUGCUGUAAUGGUUUGUCUGAGUCUUUCCUAGACCUACACUCCCUAGCAGCAGGAAUUAUGUAUUAUCUUUGUAUCCUGCUAACUAGAAUGUACCUAUGGAAUAUACUUAAUAAAAGCUUGUUGGAU